UACGUAGGGUCCGAGCGUUGUCCGGAAUCACUGGGCGUAAAGGGCGCGUAGGCGGCAUGCCAAGCGUGUGGUGAAAGCCCGGGGCUCAACCCCGGGUCGGCCGUGCGGACUGGCGUGCUCGAGCACUGUAGGGGCGGGUGGAAUUCCGGGUGUAGCGGUGGAAUGCGUAGAGAUCGGGAGGAACACCAGAGGCGAAGGCGGCGACCUGGACAGAUACUGACACUCAACUGCGAAAGCAUGGGGAGCAAACAGG
rnacentral:rRNA from 1 species